AACGGGGGAGCAUCCUCCAAGGCUAAAUACUCCUGACUGACCGAUAGUGAACCAGUACCGUGAGGGAAAGGCGAAAAGAACCCCGGCGAGGGGAGUGAAAAAGAACCUGAAACCGUGUACGUACAAGCAGUGGGAGCCCCACCACUAAGCCAGUGGUGAACUCCACAUACGCAUCCUUUGCUGAGGAUACGGUUAACGGAGCGCAAGCGACGUUCAACCGCAAAAGAAGCAGAGGGGGCUUAGUGGUGGGGUGACUGCGUACCUUUUGUAUAAUGGGUCAGCGACUUAUAUUCUGUAGCAAGGUUAACCGUAUAGGGGAGCCGGAGGGAAACCGAGUCUUAAUUGGGCGUUAAGUUGCAGGGUAUAGACCCGAAACCCGGUGAUCUAGCCAUGGGCAGGUUGAAGGUUGGGUAACACUAACUGGAGGACCGAACCGACUAAUGUUGAAAAA
rnacentral:rRNA from 1 species